AACGAACGCUGGCGGCAUGCCUAACACAUGCAAGUCGAACGAGACCUUCGGGUCUAUGGGCGCACGGGUGCGUAACGCGGGGGAACCUGCCCUUAGGUUCGGAAUAACUCCCCUAAAGGGGUGCUAAUACCGGAUAAGGUCUUCGGACCAAAGAUAUAGCGCCUUGGGAUGGGCCCGGGUCGGAUUAGCUGGUUGGGGGGGUAAAGGCCUACCAAGGCGACGAUGGGUAGCUGGUCUGUGAGGAUGAUCGGCCACACUGGGACUGAGACACGGCCCAGACUCCUACGGGAGGCAGCAGUGGGGAAUAGUGCACAAGGGGCGGAAGCCUGAUGCAGCAACGCCGCGUGCGGGAUGACGGCCUUCGGGUUGUAAACCGCUUUCGCCUGUGACGAAGAGUGAGUGACGGUAAUGGGUAAAGAAGCACCGGCUAACUACGUG
rnacentral:rRNA from 1 species